CUCUGGCUUCUCAGGCGUUUCUGCCCCUCUGAAGGUCUAACUGAAAGAUCCCCAAAGAGAGACCCUUACUCUAGUCUCAGGAAGUCGUGGACCCCAGACACAGAGAGACCA
rnacentral:pre_miRNA from 14 species